rnacentral:rRNA from 1 species
AUUGAACGCUGGCGGCAUGCCCUACACAUGCAAGUCGAACGGUAACAGGUUAAGCUGACGAGUGGCGAACGGGUGAGUAAUAUAUCGGAACGUGCCCAGUCGUGGGGGAUAACGUAGCGAAAGCUACGCUAAUACCGCAUACGAUCUACGGAUGAAAGCGGGGGACGGCAAGACUCAGCCCGUUGGGAUCGGUCGAUAUCAGAUUAGGUUGUUGGUGAGGUAAAAGCUCACCAAGCCUGCUAUCUGUAGCUGGUCUGAGAGGACGACCAGCCACACUGGAACUGAGACACGGUCCAGACUCCUACGGGAGGCAGCAGUGGGGAAUUUUGGACAAUGGACGCAAGUCUGAUCCAGCAAUGCCGCGUGCAGGACGAAGGCCUUCGGGUUGUAAACUGCUUUUGUACGGAACGAAACGGUGAGCUCUAAUACGGUUUGCUAAUGACGGUACCGUAAGAAUAAGCACCGGCUAACUACGUGCCAGCCGCCGCAGUAA